rnacentral:tRNA from 2 species
GCCCCCGUAGCUCAGUUUGGAUAGAGCAGCAGUUUCCUAAACUGUUGGCCGCCCGUUCAAGUCGGGCCGGGGGUA